rnacentral:rRNA from 1 species
AUUGAACGCUGGCGGCAUGCCUUACACAUGCAAGUCGAACGGCAGCGCGGGGGCAACCCUGGCGGCGAGUGGCGAACGGGUGAGUAAUAUAUCGGAACGUACCCAAGAGUGGGGGAUAACGUAGCGAAAGUUACGCUAAUACCGCAUACGAUCUAAGGAUGAAAGCAGGGGACCGCAAGGCCUUGUGCUCCUGGAGCGGCCGAUAUCUGAUUAGCUAGUUGGUGGGGUAAAGGCCUACCAAGGCAUCGAUCAGUAGCUGGUCUGAGAGGACGACCAGCCACACUGGGACUGAGACACGGCCCAGCCUCCUACGGGAGGCAGCAGUGGGGAAUUUUGGACAAUGGGGGCAACCCUGAUCCAGCAAUGCCGCGUGAGUGAAGAAGGCC